AGUAAGACCUUUCUCAUUAUGUCGACUACACGGGUGUGGUCCACUCUAAGUGCAAGAACAUUUAAAAGAUCAUUGAUAAGAUCAGGAUGCUCUUGCAAAUAGAAAUGGACGGCCUUGUAAUAAAGUUCCACAUUAGCAACUUUGACAACAAUAUCUUUGAACUGCAUAUGAUCCCAAGCAUCCGGAGAAUGAUUCAUGACAGUAGUGGCUGCCUCCACAUUAGCAACUUUGACAACUAUAUCUUUGAACUGCAUAUGAUCCCAAGCAUCCGGAGAAUGAUUCAUGACAGUAGUGGCAGCAUUGUCAAAUUCAUCAUAUUGGAUAUACAAAUAUGUA
rnacentral:lncRNA from 1 species